rnacentral:rRNA from 1 species
CAGCCGCCGCGGGAAUACGUAGGGUGCGAGCGUUGUCCGGAAUUACUGGGCGUAAAGAGCUCGUAGGCGGUUUGUCACGUCGUCUGUGAAAUCCUAGGGCUUAACCCUGGACGUGCAGGCGAUACGGGCUGACUUGAGUACUACAGGGGAGACUGGAAUUUCUGGUGUAGCGGUGGAAUGCACAGAUAUCAGGAAGAACACCGAUGGCGAAGGCAGGUCUCUGGGUAGUAACUGACGCUGAGGAGCGAAAGCAUGGGUAGCGAACAGGAUUAGAUACCCCAGUAGUCCCUGUCUCUUAUAC